CGGGAAAUGGCCCUCGAGACGCUGGAGAGCGCCUUGUGCUUUCUUUGCCGGCUCCUCGUGCCGCCGCCAUAGUCAGCCUGGAGGAGGUCGUGUGAAGGAACGUGUUGUUUAAUACUUGGCCGAAAGGACCAGCGUGGCGUUCCUCACCCCACCGCCACCCCACCCCCGAGCGGGGAGGGCUGGCGGCCAUGUUUCCCAACAAAAUGGCGACACGUGUCGCCAUCGAAAAAUUGGGCCGGGUCUGAAAGCUCUAGAAUGUGCCUUUCAUCAGUCUCAGAAUUUCCCAUAGGAUGAAACAGCAAGAGAGCAAGACAAUCCCAGAGAGAUGAAUGAAGUGAAUGACCCAAGGUUACACAGGAUGGAACCUAUAUCUUCUGAUUUCUCUACUGGCCUGCACUCCACGUUCUGAGGAGGAGUCCUUGAAGCUACUGAGAUAAUGGAACAAUGGAGUAGAUAGUCCAUUAUAACUCAUCUGGGAUUCUUCUCAACUUCAAGUGACCACAGGUUGGUUAAGG
rnacentral:lncRNA from 1 species